rnacentral:tRNA from 2 species
GUGGCCGUAGUAAAAUAAUUAUAUUUGCCUUCCAAGCAAAAGUUCUAAGCUAUUAGCGGCUAUA